ensembl:snRNA U6 U6 spliceosomal RNA
GUGCUUGCUUUGGCAGCACAUAUACUAAAAUUGGAACGAUACAAAGAAUAUUAGCAUGGCCCCUGCAUAGGUUUUGAAAAUCAAAAAUAUGACAGAAAUAUACAUUUA